CUGAGCACAGUCAUGCUAGUAACUCUUGACAGAGACAAUGGUCAUUCCUCCUCUGGCAGCCCAGGAUUCUGCCCAGGGUUUGUGGCAAGGAGGAAACAGUGGCUGAGAGGUCUUUUAAAUGCCUUCGCUGCCAACUUGUUUGAGAACCACACAAAAGAAUGUCGAAAUUGAAAGAUACUCCUGCUUUAACAAAUAAUUGAUGAAUUUCAUUAGUUGGAACUCAUUUUACCUUAUCCUUGGCGGCUGGCUUGAGAAAAGGGCAACUUCUCUUAUCUCGUCUGUGAGCUGAGUAUUUUUCAACCUAAGAGAAGAAAUGUAUGGAGGCUUACUAAAUCUGGGAACACCAGAAAGAGCUACAAGAAUCUUUGUGGAUUGCGAAGUGACCUGCUGGCCAAUGUCCAUAGGCUGGUGGACACACUGAAGUUGUAGGAGGAUAAUGCACCUGGAAAGGGCAUAAAAACUGUACCUCAUGCCCAAUGACUUGCCCUAUGAGUCUCUUCCAUCUGCCUGUUCCUAAGUUGUGUCCUUGAUAAUCAACUGUUGAUAAAACCCUGUCUGCUGGACUGAAAACAAGCUGAGGUGGCUGCUGGAUCUGACCGAGGAGCUUCUCUGACCCAGAAAGAAGGAGAAAGGAAUCGCACUGUGCUAUUCGGGAGGCAGGAAGGCUGCUGGCUGCCCAGGACACCAGCGGGAAGCAUGGUGGCUUGGAGAGAAAUGGAAAGACUUUUCUUGCAGGGAAGCAAUUUCCACCCUCUGGGUUUUUAAUCUUGUCUAAUGAUUUUAUCUGGCACGGAAGGAAUUGGGGGAAAUGAGCGUGUUUUCUUCACUCUUCACCCAGAGGGUAAUCCUUAAGAAAAGAGUGAUCAUUUGUGAUACCUCUUCUCAUAUCUACCAAUCUUUGCAUGAUUAUUGCUUUAUUGAGAUUGCAAACUGUUCUUGAAUCAGGGCUGACACAUCAGCCACUGCCUCCCGUGCAGCCGGGAAGAAAUUGACAGUUUGCACAUCCUCGGGUUAGCUUCACGUUAAUUAAAGCUUCACACAGCUCUGUCUGCUUCCCUUUGUUAUUCACAUGGGUUUUUGUGGAUCAUGCUGUUUACAAAUAAGGCUAAACCCAAAUGCCACACUUGCAUCUGAAUGUCCAGAUCCAGGCCCAUUCUAAUUGCUGGAUGCACCAAAGAACGGGCAGACACAGUGAGUAUAAUAAGAUGGAAGAGCUACACGAUUCAGUUUCUUGUCAAAUAACUUCAAGAGCUACACAUACACUUCCCUUGACUAACUGUAUUUUCUGGAAACCAAAUGUCUGAAAUAUAUUAAGUAGACAUUUGCCUAUGUUCAUAGCCAUUUCCCCAGGUUUAAGAUUUCACUUACACAAUGUCAACAUAAGCAGCUUAUCGGAUAUAAAAUCUGAGAUUCAUUACUUGGGUGUAUGAACAUGGGGGGAAAUAAAAAAACAACCUGAACUAAAAAUAAAGAAAUAAAUAAAAUUCUAAACAUUAGGCUGAUAGAAUCUUUUAAAUAUGUCAAUCACAUGUUGUCAGGUCCAAAGAGUAAAGCUAGUGUAUUGUGUUACAUCUUAUCCACACAAUCCCUUUGUAGAAAAUGAAACAGAUUUGUGAAGUCUACCUAUAUCAAAUUUUAAUGAUUGUUCAUUAAACAUGUUUGAAUGAGAUUAAUGCCAAUUUCAAAUAUGCAUGAAUCAACCUGAUAUG